AAUGAACGUUGGCGGCGUGGAUUAGGCAUGCAAGUCGCGCGAUAAAUUUCUUUCGGGAAAUGGACAGCGGCGGAAGGGAGAGGACAAGGUAGAAAUCUACCCUCGGGACGGGGAUAGCGGCGGGAAACUGCCGGUAAUACCCGAUAACAUCUUCGGAUCAAAGGUGUGAUUCCGCCUGGGGAUGAGUCUACUUCCUAUUAGCUAGUUGGCGGGGUAAUAGCCCACCAAGGCAACGAUGGGUAGCGGGUGUGAGAGCAUGACCCGCCUCACUGGGACUGAGAACUGCCCAGACACCUACGGGUGGCUG
rnacentral:rRNA from 1 species